rnacentral:lncRNA from 1 species
CCGAGCCGUAGCCGCAGCCCCAGCCAGAGCCGGAGUCGCAGUCGCAGCCAUAGCCGCAGCCACAGCCGCAGUCACAGUCACAGCCGCAGCCGUAGCCAUAGUCAGAGCCACUCACCGUCGCCCCCAAGGGAGAAGCCGGCCAGGCCAGCAGCAUCCCCUGCCGUGGGCGAGAAGCUGAAAAAGUAUGCAAGGGGGGGCUGUGGGUUUGGGUUGGAUCAAGGGGCUCCUGGACUCCUCCGCAAGGUGGCUGUGUCGGGCCCUGCCUCAGGGUCAGAGGCACUGUGGGUGGAGCUGCCCGAGGGGUCCGAGAGGGCCAUGGUUACUCCCUGGGGCCAUGGAGGGCAGUACAGAGGCUGUGGGGUCAGAGGUGACAACUGCCUUUUUCUCCUCCCACCCAGGACCGAACCUGCCGCUGGUAAAGAGACAGGAGCUGCCAAAGUCACCCAAGCUGACGCCACAAGAGAGGCUAAAGCUGAGGAUGCAGAAGGCGCUGAACAGGCAGUUCAAGGCGGAUAAGAAAGCGGCUCAGGAGAAGAUGAUACAGCAGGAACAUGAGCGGCAGGAGCGGGAAGACGAGCUUCGAGCCAUGGCCCGCAAGAUCCGGAUGAAGGAGCGGGAACGCAGGGAGAAGGAGCGAGAGGAGUGGGAACGCCAGUACAGCCGCCAGAGCCGCUCACCCUCGCCUCGUUACAGUCGAGAAUAUAGCUCCUCCCGAAGGCGCUCGAGGUCCCGGUCUCGAAGCCCCCAUUACCGACAUUAGGCAGGGGCAGGGGCAGGGUGCUAGGCCCAAGCUGUGAUGCUGGUUUCUCUAGUGAAAUAAAGCAGAUGUUAUUUAAUGCUCUUUAUUUGGCCUCUGUCCUUUGUGUGGCUGGUGUGGCCCUCAAAUCUCUGCCCACAGCUAUGGGGGACUCAGGCUUACAGGCCAGGUGUCAGUGUCACCGCAGCCACCUCAGCCUGAACUACCAUGGGUCACACACCCCGCCUAGAGCCUGGUGAGGCCUGCUCAGCAGGCAGGGGGCCUGAUCCAGUGGGAAAGGGCUCAGACCUGCC